ACCAGAACUGUGCAGGUUGGGGAGAGAGGAGAGAAGGUUGAAAGGAAUGUGAUUGCAACCUGUUCCGCUGUGAUCUGCCUAAUUACCUCACCUUCCUGUGGCUGCUGCUGCUGUAAGAUCAGGCAUGACCAACAUUAUACGUGAACAAGAGAAGAAAAAGGAAACGAGAUGCCAGCCCCCAAAAGAGAAAUGUUUAUCAGGCUGGCAAGAUUUGGCAAAUGAGCUGAGGCUGUAUUCUGAAACUUGCCAUGAAGGAAAAUCUUCAGCAUUCAGGUUGCAACUCUUUGUGAAAUAAGCAAGACAGAUCUCAAAUAAAAACCUGUGAGUCACUCUUGACUUUUUCUCUCUCCCUUGCACCACCGUGUCAUCAGUCACUAACUAUAAUCGACCUGGAAAAGGUGGCCUGAACCUGCCCCUUUCCCCUCACCCAGCCACGCAGCCUGGGUAUGCCCUCAGGGUUCCUCACUCAGGCUUUGGCCUUAGGAAAAUUGCCCUGGUUGAUUUUUAGAGAAGGGGUGGAAGAAGGAAGACCAGUUACUAAUUCUGAUUUUGAUGCCCCUGUUUAACCCUGCAUUAUAAUUCCUCACAGCUCAAGAAAUAAAGCUUUUUAAGCCUCA